GUGCCAGCAGCCGCGGUAAUACGGAGGGGGCUAGCGUUGUUCGGAAUUACUGGGCGUAAAGCGCACGUAGGCGGAUCAGUAAGUUAGAGGUGAAAGCCCAGGGCUCAACCCUGGAACUGCCUUUGAUACUGCUAGUCUAGAGAUCGAGAGAGGUGAGUGGAAUUCCGAGUGUAGAGGUGAAAUUCGUAGAUAUUCGGAGGAACACCAGUGGCGAAGGCGGCUCACUGGCUCGAUACUGACGCUGAGGUGCGAAAGCGUGGGGAGCAAACAGGAUUAGAUACCCGUGUAGUCC
rnacentral:rRNA from 1 species